CCAAGUCCGAGGCCGCCGGGCUCAUGGGAGAGGCACCCCUCCGCCCCAGGCCGCCUCGUGCGUAUGGCGCCGCCCCAGUCUUCCAAACAGCUAACCUCCAACUAGGAUGCGGCCCUCUGCGCCACCCCGUGGGAACCAAGGGUACCAAAACCUCCCGGGGAGACCGGCCUUGGACAAGAGAACGUUCCUCGCAAGCGGAUUUUUUCCCUCAUAUCGUUGUUUUUAAAGACUUUGUCUCCCAAUCAAGAGAAUGAUUUGACUCUACUCUGUCCAUCCUAUCCCCGGCCUCUAUACGCCCCGCUACCCCCAACAGGUAAUUAACGUGCCUCUUCAUCCUCACUCCUGAAUUUUCUUAAACGUGUGACCAGGCGACCGAAAAGUGUGGAACUGGUUUGAAGGAGGUGGGCUGCGGGCGGGCGCUGCCGGCGGACCGGAAGUCGAGUGGGGGAGGCUCCGGAAGACGGCGGGAGGGGAUUGGCUGAGCGACUCCCGCAGGCUGGGGAGAGCGGCUGCGCAGACCAGGGGCAGAGUCCUAGACUGCGGGGCCGGCGAAGGGGACAGGCCUGGGGAGGUUGGCAGGGGAGGAGUGUAGCGAGUAGCGUAGGGCAGGGGCGCCCCCGGGUCCACGGUGCAGCUCCGGAUGAAGCCGCAGUAUUUUCCUUAUAUGAUCGGGCCCCAUGGCUGGCGGCGCCGCUGGCGGAGCCUGAGAGGAUUAUGAAAACUUGUCAGGCGAAAUGGGGCCAGGGAACCGGGGGCUGGGAGAUUAGGGUGAGCCGGUUAGGCUACGGAUGAGGGAGGUUAGGGAUGCCUCUGCCGCUGUAACUGUGAGCCCUGGUCGAUGAUGACGUGACCACUGCGCAAUCUGAGUUCUGGGAACCAGGUGAUAGAGUGUGUGCUGAGAACGGACUGAGACCGGGCGA